rnacentral:rRNA from 6 species
GGGAAAUCUUACCGGGUCCGGACACACUGAGGAUUGACAGGCAAAAUUAUUUAUAUGCUUUUUUAUUUUUAUAACUAAGCAUUUUAUAUGCAAAUAUGCUAGUCCUUUCAUGAUUAUGUGAUAGGUGGUGCAUGGCCGUUCUUAGUUCGUGGAGUGAUCUGUCUGCUUAAUUGCGUUUCACCAAGGGUUUAUAACAAACGUAUGUUGCGCCGUUUCGAUCCCGCUUUUUACUAAGUGUGUGGUCUUAGCGCGUUGCGCAUACAAAUAGGCCCUGAAAGCAACGA